rnacentral:rRNA from 1 species
UACAGAGGUCUCAAGCGUUGUUCGGAUUCAUUGGGCGUAAAGGGUGCGUAGGUGGCGCGCUAAGUCAGGUGUGAAAUCUCGGGGCUUAACUCCGAAACUGCAUUUGAUACUGGCGUGCUUGAGGACUGGAGAGGAGACUGGAAUUCAUGGUGUAGCAGUGAAAUGCGUAGAGAUCAUGAGGAAGACCAGUGGCGAAGGCGGGUCUCUGGGCCGAAAUUGACGCUGAGGAGCGAAAGCGUGGGGAGCAAACAGG